GACAAACCUCGUUUCAAGGCUUCUCGUCUACAAAUCAUGGCUUUUAAUUCUCUUCUGAAGGAUCUGUCAUAGUAAGCAUAAAUCACCGGAUUUGCCGUAUAACCAAUAGCAUGUAAGCACCUCAUAAAUAGAAACAACUGAAGUUCCAGGUUCGAAACCCUAAACCAUCUACCGGGACUACCAGAGUCAAAGAGUAUAAAAAUCCAAGUCGGAAUAAAGGAUAAAAUUGUCACUAUAGUGAUAACGAUGAACAUUAUGCUGGACUUGUGAGCUUUAGCACUAGCGCUAAGAGAAUGGGCAAGAGAGCGCUUCCGGUGAGACAGAGUAAUUGUGUCCGUCUUGUUUGAUUUCCUAGAAUCCAUAGUACCCGAUUUGCAAACAUCUAUCGAUGUAUUGCUGCUAACCGCACUAGAUGGAUUCCCUGAUAUCAUCAACUUUAACUGUGAAUGCUGGGUUUCUUUAAUGUUGUCGGGGUCUUCAUUUGUCUCUGCCGUCUCCGACCCUUUAGCACCAUUUUCAGCAAUGUUACUAAAAAGCAGCUUCAGUCUUGCACUUUGGUCCUUCAUUUCUUUGAAAUGUCUCGUUUGUCUGUAUAUCACGCCUCCCACACAGCUGUAGAGAAUGCCCAUAGCUAUUAUCAGGACGCUGGACAUCACAAUCAAGAAAAUUGUGUUGCCUUUGAUUAUUAUUUUUGCACCAAACAUCGACAUAUCCGGACCGCAAACAUUUGCAAAUAGAUUGUCUUCAACUUCAAUUGUGCGAACUUUGAAGUAUAUGGCCUUUGGUAACGAGAGAACUAUAGAGGCCAACGUGACAGCAAUCAGUGCCCAUUCCUUUACCUUCUUGCUCAUCUGCUUUCGUAGUGGAUGACAUAUUUUUCGGUAUCUGUGUAUGCAGAUAACGACCAGGACUAGCAAGGAUAAAAUGAAAAAAACAUUUGUGAAAUACAGUAAUAUUUUACAACUAACGUCGUCAGGGUACCUCAAAGGAUUGGCGUUUUUGGCGAACACAAGAUUGGAUGAAAAAAUGCUGUGUAAAAAGUCGAUGAGAGCCAACACAACAAUAAAGUAGUGGUCCUCACGUUUCGUCCGAACUUUACUUUUGUAAACAUAGAUCACCAAUAUGUUUCCAACAAUUCCAAGCAGUAAAAAAACUGCAUUAAUGACAGUAUUUGGAAGAUACCUCUGUCUAAAGAAGACAUUGCACUCUUCUAUUAUUCCUUCCCUAAAGUCAGAUGUCGUGUUUAUCGAAUGCAUGUGUACACAUUUAAACUCGGCUUCCUCCAUGGUUAGGUGAUUUAUAAUGUUUUCGUCAAUCCCACAAAUCCAGAUGUUAAAACACCGUCCUCUUGAUUUAAAAUGAAUUCUUUCUUUUUUCACAACAGUAGGAUGGAAAUGGGGCGAGGGGAUUUCCGGCAAGCGAGCAGACGAUUCGUCCUUCUUAAAAUAUGUCAGCGUGUAAAAUAUAGCGCGCAAAUAUAUUGAUCUUGUUUACCGCUUAAAUAUGGGACUGUCUUGUUUACAGUACCUUUUAUAAUGAAAACCUUGUUAAUAUUUGAAUUUUAUCUUUUUCGUAAUAAUGAUGCAGUUUUAAAUAUGAAGUUUAUCUGGUAGUAUUUGUUUUAUCGAUUAAAAGACAUGGCAACAUCAUGCAACCUGUUCACGGUGUAAGUUUUCAAACGUAUACGUCCUGGCCUUAUCCAUAACGUGCGGCAGACUGCGUGUUAAAUGCAAUGCGUAUUCAUUAAAUUUUUAAUCAUUCUAUUUAAAAACCAGUUCUUCGAAAGAAAUAAUUCUAGUCAUAAUUUCUUUUAUCAAUGAUAUCACUUCAUGAUUAUUUAACUCGUGGAUCAGACUGUGCUUUAUUAUAUCUGAAUAUGUUAACCGGGUUUUUUUUCAAGACGUUGAAAUUGGAGGUUAUUCAUGCACACUAACUGUUAUCAGCUCUAGCUAUUUCUGACAACAGUGUAAUCCAAGUAAUGCAACCUACGUUAGUUUUCACAAAGCAAUGAAACACGCACAUAGGUAAAUGAACUUGUGAUAUUUUAACAUGCAAUUUUUUGGCAUUUAUUUUUGAAGCCUAUAAUGAUGAUUUAUUAAUUGCUGUCGUUGUUGAUUGUUUAAUCCCACCUGAGCUGAAUGCUCAGAUGAGUUUUCUAAUAAAAAUAUGAUGUCUGAUGCAAGAGCCAUCACAAUUUUUAAUUUG
rnacentral:sRNA from 1 species